rnacentral:rRNA from 1 species
GGCGUCUUUUCAUCAGUCGAUGUGCAUAGAAUUCUACAAAUUCCUUUUCAUGUGGAGGCCGUUGAAGAUUUUGUAGCUUGGCAACAUACAAGGACUGGGACCUUUCCCGUGCGUUCGACAUACCAUGUUGAAUUUGGGCAUCAGCUCGGACAGCACUUGAAUCGGACUAGCCCAAGUAGUGCCUCAUUAAAUGGAGCUUGGAAAGAUCUUUGGAAACUGCGACUACCAGGGAAAAUCAAAUACUUUGGCUGGAAAGUGUUGAAGGGGGUUCUACCAUGCUAUGGUGUCCUUGCUAAUAGAUAUAUUCCUCUGAUCCCGCAAUGUUAA